GACGAACGCUGGCGGCGUGCUUAACACAUGCAAGUCGAACGAAAAGAGGGAAAGAGCUUGCUCUUUCCGGAAUUGAGUGGCAAACGGGUGAGUAACACGUAAACAACCUGCCUUCAGGAUGGGGACAACAGACGGAAACGACUGCUAAUACCGAAUAAGUUCCAAGAGCCGCAUGGCCCAUGGAAGAAAAGGUGGCCUCUACCUGUAAGCUAUCGCCUGAAGAGGGGUUUGCGUCUGAUUAGCUGGUUGGAGGGGUAACGGCCCACCAAGGCGACGAUCAGUAGCCGGUCUGAGAGGAUGAACGGCCACACUGGAACUGAGACACGGUCCAGACUCCUCGGGAGGCAGCAGUGGGGAAUCUUCCGCAAUGGGCGAAAGCCUGACGGAGCAACGCCGCGUGAGUGAUGACGGCCUUCGGGUUGUAAAACUCUGUGAUCCGGGACGAAAGGGCAGAGUGCGAAGAACAAACUGCAUUGACGGUACCGGAAAAGCAAGCCACGGCUAAUC
rnacentral:rRNA from 1 species